UAGCACACCUCAAUGAAGCCCACCUGCCU
rnacentral:piRNA from 1 species